rnacentral:tRNA from 1 species
GGAGAGAUGGCUCAGUGAUAAGAGCACUGGUUGCUCUCCCAGAGGACCUGGGUUCAAUUCCCAGCACCC